rnacentral:rRNA from 1 species
UACGUAGGGUGCAAGCGUUAAUCGGAAUUACUGGGCGUAAAGCGUGCGCAGGCGGUUAUGUAAGACAGAUGUGAAAUCCCCGGGCUCAACCUGGGAACUGCAUUUGUGACUGCAUAGCUAGAGUACGGUAGAGGGGGAUGGAAUUCCGCGUGUAGCAGUGAAAUGCGUAGAUAUGCGGAGGAACACCGAUGGCGAAGGCAAUCCCCUGGACCUGUACUGACGCUCAUGCACGAAAAGCGUGGGGAGCAAACAGGG